rnacentral:misc_RNA from 1 species
CAACCCUCAAGCUUCUGCUUGGUGUUGGGCCUCGUCCUCACCGGACGUGCCCGAAACUCGUGGGCGGUGGCGGCCGAGCUCCCAGCGUAGUCAAAUCUACCCGCUUCGGAGACCGGACGACACCCGCCUGGUAAACCACACUUCCAUCACG